CAUGUAACCACUGUAUUUCUUUUAUUUUUUUCACAGAUCUAAGAAAACACUUCACACCCUACAACCCCUAAAAAUAACCCAGAUUUGACAGCAGUGCACACCCAUCUGAGGCCGACCUGUUUUACUUCAUGAUCACCCCAGAUACUUCUACAACUAACCCGCUUUGUGUCUGAUGUUGAUGCAGUCUGGGCACUAGUAUCUGUUGGGUUGCUGACUAUCAUUGAAGAUGAAGUACUUCUCCAAAUCUUCUCUGCCUUGACCCUGUGUCUU